rnacentral:rRNA from 1 species
CCCCUACGGGACGCAGCAGUAGGGAAUCUUCCACAAUGGACGAAAGUCUGAUGGAGCAACGCCGCGUGAGUGAAGAAGGGUUUCGGCUCGUAAAGCUCUGUUGGUAGUGAAGAAAGAUAGGGGGAGUAACUGGCCUUUAUUUGACGGUAAUUACUUAGAAAGUCACGGCUAACUACGUGCCAGCAGCCGCGGGAAUACGUAGGUGGCAAGCGUUGUCCGGAUUUAUUGGGCGUAAAGCGAGUGCAGGCGGGUCAAUAAGGCUAAUGUGAAAAGCUUCAGCUCAA